rnacentral:lncRNA from 1 species
CACUUCUGCAGCGGCAGCAGACGUUGAAAAAUGAGGCUUGAGCCCAGAGGCAAGUUUGCUUACACGGCUUGGAGGUGAUCGAAUGUCACAGAAUGUGGAAGGCCAUCCGCAACCGCUAUGUUAAGAGACGAGAGCGGCGAAAGGCAAGAGUAAAGCUGGCGAGGAGGAUGUCCAGCCUCCCACGUGGGUUCUUUUCAAGUUCCUGGGGUUCCCCGAUGGUCAAAUCUGUGCAGAUGGUAGGCACAGAAUGUUUUGGACAACAAAGGGCACUGCAGAUUGUGCCGUAUUUUGUAUGCAUUGUAACGAUGACGUGGCAGAACCCUGGUUUGUCCCAAGACAAAAGGAGCCUCACACAACACCAUGUCUACAAACUGGAGUGAAGGAGCCCCCACUUCCGUGCCAGGAGAGAUCCUUGCGGAAAUGUAUUGCCCUGGAGAGACCGCAACCCCCGCAGAAAAUAGACAGCCUGGGAUGCCUGCUGAUGCCGAGAUGGAAGACAUACUGUAGCAUGAAGACAUACAUUUUAUUUAACAACUGCCUUCGAUAAGCAUGUUUGCAAGUGGCUCCUGUGUAAUUACCCUUUUCUCACUCUCCUCUUUCAUUUAAGCGAUUGGCUAUUCUUGGAGGCAGGUCCAAA